rnacentral:rRNA from 1 species
GACGAACGCUGGCGGCGCGCUUAACACAUGCAAGUCGAGCGAUGAAACUUUAACAGAACCCUUCGGGGCGAAGAUAAAGUGGAUUAGCGGCGGACGGGUGAGUAACACGUGAGUAACCUGCCUUAAACAUUGGGAUAGCCUCGGGAAACCGGGAUUAAUACCAAAUAAAAUCAUAAUGACACAUGUCAUAACGAUCAAAACUCCGGUGGUCUAAGAUGGACUCGCGUCCCAUUAGCUAGUUGGUAGAGUAAAAGCCUACCAAGGCGACGAUGGGUAGCCGGCCUGAGAGGGUGAACGGCCACAUUGGAACUGAGAAACGGUCCAAACUCCUACGGGAGGCAGCAGUGGGGAAUAUUGCACAAUGGAGGGAACUCUGAUGCAGCGACGCCGCGUGAACGAAGAAGGCUUUCGAGUCGUAAAGUUCUUUUAUAUGGGAAGAUAAUGACGGUACCAUAAGAAAAAGCCCCGGCUAACUACGUG